rnacentral:rRNA from 1 species
AGUUUGAUCCUGGCUCAGAACGAACGCUGGCGGCAGGCUUAACACAUGCAAGUCGCGCGAUUAAAGCUCCUUCGGGAGUAUAUAAAGCGGCGAACGGGUGAGUAACGGGUGGACAACCUGCCCUUUGGUGGGGGACAACAGUUGGAAACGACUGCUGCUAAUACCGCAUGUCAUUACCCUUUGAUUUAGGGUAAGAAAAGGUGCUUCACGGCACCGCCAAAGGAUGGGUCCGCCUCCCAUUAGCUAGUUGGUGAGAUAACAGCUCACCAAGGCAACGAUGGGUAGCCGAGCUGAGAGGUUGAUCGGCCACACUGGAACUGAGAUACGGUCCAGACACCUACGGGUGGCAGCAGUGAGGAAUAUUGUGCAAUGGGCGAAAGCCUGACACAGCCAUGCCGCGUGAGUGAAGAAUGCCUUCGGGUUGUAAAGCUCUUUUCUGUGGGAAGAACAUCCGGUGGAGGAAAUGCCACCGGCCUGACGGUACCACAGGAAUAAGGAACGGCUAACUCCGUGCCAGCAGCCGCGGUAAUACGGAGGUUCCAAGCGUUGUUCGGAUUUACUGGGCGUAAAGGGAGCGCAGGCGGAAAGAUUAGUCUGAAGUGGAAUCCCGGGGCUCAACCUCGGAAGUGCUUUGGAUACUGUCUUUCUUGAGUCCGUGAGAGGAGAGUGGAAUUCAGGGUGUAGCGGUGAAAUGCUUAGAUAUCCUGAGGAACACCAAUGGCGAAAGCAACUCUCUGGCACGUGACUGACGCUGAGGCUCGAAAGCGUGGGUAGCGAACGGGAUUAGAUACCCCGGUAGUCCACGCCGUAAACGUUGUGCACUAGGUGCAGGAGGUAUCGACCCCUUCUGUGCCGUAGCUAACGCAUUAAGUGCACCGCCUGGGGAGUACGCAAGCAAGCUGAAACUCAAAGGAGACGGGGGCCCGCGCAAGCGGUGGAGCAUGUAGUUUAAUUCGAGGCAACGCGAAGAACCUUACCCAGGCUUGACAUCCCGGUAGUAAGAACCUGAAAGGGGGAUGAACUUGGGGCAACUCAAGUAGCUAACACAGGUGCUGCAUGGCUGUCGUCAGCUCGUGCCGUGAGGUGUUGGGUUAAGUCCCGCAACGAGCGCAACCCCUAUCCUCUGUUGCCCUGCUGAAGGGAUCUCUGAGGAAACUGCCGGCGACAAGCCGGAGGAAGAUGGGGACGACGUCAAGUCAUCAUGGCCCUUAUGUCCAGGGCGACACACGUGCUACAAUGGCAGGUACAGAGGGAAGCAAUACCGCGAGGUGGAGCCAAUCCCCAAACCCUGUCUCAGUUGGGAUUGGAGUCUGCAACUCGACUCCAUGAACCUGGAAUCGCUAGUAAUCGCGGAUCAGCCAUGCCGCGGUGAAUACGUUCCCGGGCCUUGUACACACCGCCCGUCACACCACGAAAGUCUGUUGUACCCGAAGUAGAUGAGCUAACCUGCAAGGGGGGCAGUCUACGAAGGUAUGGCAGGUAAUUGGGGUGAAGUCGUAACAAGGUAACCGUAA